rnacentral:pre_miRNA from 14 species
CUUUAAUUUGCUAUUGAAAGACCCCCGGAGCAGGAAGACCCUCACUCAAGUCUCGGGAUGAUGCGACCCCCCAAGAACUCACGUGAGACC